GAUGAACGCUGGCGGCGUGCCUAAUACAUGCAAGUCGAGCGAACAGAUGAGGAGCUUGCUCCUCUGACGUUAGCGGCGGACGGGUGAGUAACACGUGGAUAACCUACCUAUAAGACUGGGAUAACUUCGGGAAACCGGAGCUAAUACCGGAUAAUAUAUUGAACCGCAUGGUUCAAUAGUGAAAGACGGUUUUGCUGUCACUUAUAGAUGGAUCCGCGCCGCAUUAGCUAGUUGGUAAGGUAACGGCUUACCAAGGCGACGAUGCGUAGCCGACCUGAGAGGGUGAUCGGCCACACUGGAACUGAGACACGGUCCAGACUCCUACGGGAGGCAGCAGGAGGGAAUCUUCCGCAAUGGGCGAAAGCCUGACGGAGCAACGCCGCGUGAGUGAUGAAGGUCUUCGGAUCGUAAAACUCUGUUAUUAGGGAAGAACAAAUGUGUAAGUAACUAUGCACGUCUGGACGGUACCUAAUCAGAAAGCCACGGCUAACUACGU
rnacentral:rRNA from 1 species